rnacentral:rRNA from 1 species
CGAUAACGAACGAGACCUCUACCAUCUAGUGGUGGUGGGUUUGCCUGCAGAGGUGAAUUCUGCAUACUAGGGGACAGACUGGGGUUACCAGUAGGAAGUUUGAGGCAAUAACAGGUCUGUGAUGCCCUUAGAUGUUCUGGGCUGCACGCGCGCUACACUGAUGGAUGCAGCGAGUAAUUUGCCUUGCUCGGAAGGGCUGGGAAAUCUUGUGCAAGUCCAUCGUGCUGGGGAUAGACCAUUGCAAUUAUUGCUCUUCAACGAGGAAUUCCUAGUAAGCGCAUGUCAUCAGCAUGCGUUGAUUACGUCCCUGCCCUUUGUACACACCGCCCGUCGCUACUACCGAUUGAAUGGCUA